GGUUAAUGCUGUCUGUUUUCUCUUUCUCCCCAAGGGAUUUAACUCGGAAAAAAUUAACCUCUCAGAGUUGCCCAUCACUCUUCACACUGCCACUAGAAUCCACUGUGACUAAUGCUACUAAAAAGAGAGCUGUCAGACCAACUGUGAGGGAGGAAAAGAGAGGGUGA
rnacentral:lncRNA from 1 species